rnacentral:rRNA from 1 species
UACCCGCUCCGCGAGUGGUGAGGACUAUUACUGGGCUUAAAGCGUCCGUAGCCGGCCCGGCGUGCUCCGCGUUAAAUCCAGCAGCCUAACUGCUGGGCUGCGCGGAUGACUGCCGGGCUUGGGGGUGGGAGAGGGCGGCGGUAUUCCCGGGGUAGGGGUAAAAUCCACUGAUCCCGGGAGGACCACCAGUGGCGAAGGCGGCCGCCCAGAACACGCCCGACGGUGAGGGACGAAAGCUGGGGGAGCGAUCGGG